rnacentral:rRNA from 1 species
ACAAUCCUUCGGGUGCGUUAAUGGGCGUCGAGCGGCGGACGGGUGAGUAAUGCCUAGGAAAUUGCCUUGAUGUGGGGGAUAACCAUUGGAAACGAUGGCUAAUACCGCAUAAUGCCUACGGGCCAAAGAGGGGGACCUUCGGGCCUCUCGCGUCAAGAUAUGCCUAGGUGGGAUUAGCUAGUUGGUGAGGUAAUGGCUCACCAAGGCGACGAUCCCUAGCUGGUCUGAGAGGAUGAUCAGCCACACUGGAACUGAGACACGGUCCAGACUCCUACGGGAGGCAGCAGUGGGGAAUAUUGCACAAUGGGCGAAAGCCUGAUGCAGCCAUGCCGCGUGUAUGAAGAAGGCCUUCGGGUUGUAAAGUACUUUCAGUUGUGAGGAAGGGGGUANUGUUAAUAGCNCUAUCUCUUGACGUUAGCAACAGAAGAAGCACCGGCUAACUCCGUGCCAGCAGCCGCGGU